AGUUUGAUCCUGGCUCAGAUUGAACGCUGGCGGCAUGCCUAACACAUGCAAGUCGAACGGUAACAGAUAAGAUGAUCUCUUCGGAGUGAAUCUUUGCUGACGAGUGGCGGACGGGUGAGUAAUGCUUGGGAAUCUGCCCAAUAGUGGGGGAAAACUCGGGGAAACCCGGGCUAAUACCGCAUAAUCUCUACGGAGGAAAGAGGGCCUCUACUUGUAAGCUCUCGCUAAUGGAUGAGCCCAAGUCAGAUUAGCUUGUUGGUAAGGUAAUGGCUUACCAAGGCUACGAUCUGUAGCUGGUCUGAGAGGAUGAUCAGCCACACUGGGACUGAGACACGGCCCAGACUCCUACGGGAGGCAGCAGUGGGGAAUAUUGCACAAUGGGCGCAAGCCUGAUGCAGCAAUGCCGCGUGUGUGAAGAAGGCUCUAGGGUUGUAAAGCACUUUCAAUAGAGAAGAAAAGCUUGAAUUUAAUACAUUCAAGCCUUGACCUAACCUAUACAAGAAGCACCGGCUANUCCGUGNCAGCAGCCGCGG
rnacentral:rRNA from 1 species